CAAGGACACAAAGUGGUAUAAAUGGAGUGGCCCCUGAUCAUAUCUUGGGCCGAAGUAGAAAGAAACUUUGCCCUCAAGUCACACUGCCUGGGUUCUAAUCUCAGCUUCAAUGAUUAUUUGUUGGAUGACCUCAGCCCAGUAAACAAGAAAAUCAUGGCAUCUCUCUGAGCCUCCACGUUCUCAUCUCGGUGUACGUGAAUACCUGUCCUGCGGAUGGUGUUACCCACAGACGCUAUGAGAAGGGAGCAGGGAAUGAAACUCAGACCCCUACUGGGUCCUGUUCCUUGAGGAGUCAUACCAAAGCCUGUGACUGGGAACUGGGGUCCUUCACUGCUCCCACCCCCUAGCCGGGGAUGCACCGGGAAGGUUUGCCUUGGGGAGGCGGUGUGGCUGCUCUGCUUUUCACACCCCCCAUGCCUACAUCUACCUGCCUGGGGAGCUUACUGUUUCCAUGCUAAGUUAUGUAUGGGUUCAAUUGCUUCUUUUGCCUGUUUCUGUUCAAGUACCGUAUUCCUCAGCUCUGGAGGAGCUGGGAGGUCAAUCCUUUGAUUAUAAAAAUAACUUGAGCUGUCCAUUUCCCAUUAUAAUGUUGUCUCAGAUGGUCUCCUUCCCUUCUGAUUUUCCUUAGUCUUUGGAUGUCAGUUUCUUCAUAUAAGAUGGAGAUGAUAAUAUUUAUUUCCGUGGGGCCAUUUGAGGCUCAAGGGAGGGCUUUCUGAAGUAUUAAACCUAUUCAGGUGUUGAAUAUGGUGACAGUGUGUAUGCGUAAUCUUGCCUCCGUUGAAAGCUCUGGGAAGAGAGGAAGCCCCUCCAUCCUUUCAACGCCACAUAACCAGUGCCCUUGCAAAAUGCCAGGCACACACAAGGUGCUCAGUUAAUGUUUUCUGAACAAAUGACUGACCUCAGAUCUUCAGAGGUUAAUCUCUAUUGUCUCCUAUCUAUUUUCAUCACUAUUUAAAAAAAUUUUUUAUUAGCAUUCAUGGCUGCUGACAUCUCCACUCCACCCACAUCCCCACCACCCACAAUUCCCAGCCCCUAUCCCCCACUCUGGGGUAGAGCUGAUGGAUAGCUCAGGAGUUCAGAGCAUACAUUGGGCCAGUCCAGACUGGAAGAUAAGGAUUUCAAGGGGCAAAUACAGGGAGAUUGGGCCACUGCAGCCUGAUUCAGAGCAGAUGAAAUGCCUGUGCUGGCUUCAGGAAUAGGGGGUUUUGGGUCUAGCUUCAGGGAAAAAAACAAGAGGUGAGCCCCAAACAGCACAGUGGUCGAAAAGUAGCAACCAUAUCUACCAACGAUAGCUGGUCAUAGUUUCAUCUUUCUGGGCACAACCUCAGGUGAUUCAAACAAUGUUGGGCUCAUUUUACAAAUAGGAGCUGCAGGCCAGGCCUGACUCCCUAUGGGUAUUCAGUAGAGCUGACAGCUUAGAUGAGGACAUGCAGGAGAUAUCUUGCAUCUUCUUUUCUCUGUAGUCCUUCAUACUCUCUAACAUGCCACCCAUGUUGCUUAUUUAUCUUGCUUAUUGCAUGU